AAGAGAGAGCCUGAUAGUGGAGCCAAAGAGGCAAGGAUAAUCAGUAUCUAAAUGCAAGAAGCACUAGGAACCUCCACCUGUUAUUCUCCCUCACAACAAGGAUGAGGCAAGAGAAAGAAGAAAUCUAAGCACUUCAAAAGGCUCAGGCCUCAGAAACCAAACAUCGCAACACUCAUCCCCCUCAGACAGGUCCCCUUUGCCUGCUGCUUCAUCCCAGAUCAGGAGAAGAGCUGUCCCUAAUGGGCACCAGAACUACUACGCACAUCUUCUGUGCCUAAUCCUGUGGGGGCAGCUCCUACACUCCGGCAGGCUUUGCAGGCAGCCACACUAGCAUCAUGGACUGACACAAAUGUAAAACCUGCUGGGGGCAUAGAAGUAGCCCAGAUCCCAGCCUGUCAGCAGGAUGAAGUUGGAGAGAAAAGCUUGAAAAUGUGACCUGAAUGCACCCUAAAGGCUCAGAAACCAAAAGGUUCUGAUUAGCCUAAAAUAGGAGCUGGAGGCAGGCAGACCAGGAGUGCGGGGCUCAGAUAGGGAAUCGGCCCGGGCCAGGGCCCCUACAAGCGAGCUUUACCUUCAGCCCUCCCCUCCUGGCACCAGUUGAUACCAGUUUUGAGGGGCUGCCCAGUGGUCACUUGGAGCUGAAGACUUGACAGCGGAGCUCUGUUUGUAGCGAUGAAGGUCACUGAUAAAAUAAUGAUGAGCCAGGAAUCCGUCCCUGGGGGACCCCUGGCUACACACCCGCUUGAUGAUGAAUCCCCAUUCACAUUUUGAGACCUAUCAGGCAACAGGGAACAGCUAAUAUGAAAAUGUGUAUAUGGGAACCAGAAAUGACCAGUGUCCAGUUCUUACCACUCAGCAGCCAUGGACAGAAAAGAUGCUUUAUCUGGUGUCUAGUUCCUACUCCCAAGCACAGGAGAUUCUUUGCCUGGUAUCAGUCCCCAAGCCAUAAAGAGCCCUGCUCGUAGGAUAUGUUUCAGCUGUUGCCGAGUCCCUGCCACAGAGGAAACCCAGGCAAAGGAAGUAUUUUACGAACAGCUGCUCACUGCCUCGGUUGAAGAUGCUCCACCCAAAGAAUAUGGAUAUGUUCUACCACCGAUGAUGAGGAAAAAGAAGAGCAUGGAUAUUUCUGUGUCUGUAACAAGUACCAGGCACAUGGGAAAAAUGAGACAUACACAUUUUGGUGAAUGGUGAAGACGCAGAGCGAAAUUCUGGCUCCUCUGAAGUCAGUGACAAAACUCCCAUUGACUUCAGUGGAGCCAGGAUUUGACACUCUGGUUUAAUGGAUGUAAGUGGAAAAUGAUGGGAUCAUUCUCAAUAGAUAAAAUAACGAGUACUGCUCAGUACCUCCCUAGCUCCUUACUAAACACUGUACUGGCAUUAAAUAAUAUUUAAAACCCCACCAGUGGGGCAGGCAAGUAUUACAAUGGACUAACAACUACUAAUGGGAAACAUUCUGAAAUGCAUGUAAAAAUGUUAUAUUCCAUCACCCUCCUUGUAUCUUGU